rnacentral:rRNA from 1 species
AUUGAACGCUGGCGGCAUGCCUUACACAUGCAAGUCGAACGGCAGCACGGGUGCUUGCACCUGGUGGCGAGUGGCGAACGGGUGAGUAAUACAUCGGAACAUGUCCUGUAGUGGGGGAUAGCCCGGCGAAAGCCGGAUUAAUACCGCAUACGAUCUACGGAUGAAAGCGGGGGACCUUCGGGCCUCGCGCUAUAGGGUUGGCCGAUGGCUGAUUAGCUAGUUGGUGGGGUAAAGGCAUACCAAGGCGACGAUCAGUAGCUGGUCUGAGAGGACGACCAGCCACACUGGGACUGAGACACGGCCCAGACUCCUACGGGAGGCAGCAGUGGGGAAUUUUGGACAAUGGGCGAAAGCCUGAUCCAGCAAUGCCGCGUGUGUGAAGAAGGCCUUCGGGUUGUAAAGCACUUUUGUCCGGAAAGAAAUACUUGGCUCUAAUACAGUCGGGGGAUGACGGUACCGGAAGAAUAAGCACCGGCUAACUACGUG